rnacentral:ncRNA from 5 species
UUCCGUAGGUGACCUGCGGAAGGAUCAUUA